rnacentral:rRNA from 1 species
AUUCAGUUUUGUGGCGGACGGGUGAGUAACGCGUGAGUAACCUGCCUUCAAGAGGGGGAUAACAUUCUGAAAAGAAUGCUAAUACCGCAUGACAUAUGAUUGUCGCAUGGCAGAUAUAUCAAAGAUUUAUCGCUUGAAGAUGGACUCGCGUCCGAUUAGUUAGUUGGUGAGGUAACGGCCCACCAAGACCGCGAUCGGUAGCCGGACUGAGAGGUUGAACGGCCACAUUGGGAGUGAGACACGGCCCAGACUCCUACGGGAGGCAGCAGUGGGGGAUAUUGCGCAAUG